CCUCCGGGUGGCAGCAGUGAGGAAUAUUGGUCAAUGGGCGUGAGCCUGAACCAGCCAAGUCGCGUGAGGGAUGAAGGUUCUAUGGAUCGUAAACCUCUUUUAUCAGGGAAUAAAGUGCGGGACGUGUCCCGUUUUGUAUGUACCUUAUGAAUAAGGAUCGGCUAACUCCGUGCCACCAGCCGCGGUAAUACGGAGGAUCCGCGCUUUAUCCGGAUUUAUUUGGGUUAAAGGGUGCGUAGGCGGUCUUUUAAGUCAGGGGUGAAAUGCUGUGGCUCAACCAUAGAAUUGCCGUUGAAACUGGGAGGCUUGAGUAGGUUUGAGGCAGGCGGAAGGCGUGGUGUAGCGGUGAAAUGCUUAGAUAUCACGUAGAACCCCGAUUGCGAAGGCAGCCUGCCAAGCCAUGACUGACGCUGAGGCACGAAAGCGUGGGGAUCAAACAGGAUUAGAUACCCCAGUAGUC
rnacentral:rRNA from 1 species